rnacentral:tRNA from 1 species
AGGAAAAUAGCUCAGUUGGUAGAGCAGCGGUUUCCAAAACCGAAGGGCAGGGGUUCAAGUCCCUUUUUUCCUG